AUGGAAAAUUGCAUUUUUGGAAUUUGCAAUAAUGCGAUGGGCGAACGACGGGAAUUGAACCCGCGCAUGGUGGAUUCACAAUCCACUGCCUUGAUCCACUUGGCUACAUCCGCCCCUUAUCCAGCUAAAGGAUUUUUUCUUUUUUCCAUUGAUCAUUAUUCUAUUUAUUCUGACCUCCGUACUUCGAUCGAGAUAUUGGACAUAGAAUGCCACUCUUUAAAAAGGAAAAAAGGAGUAAUCAGCUGUGACACGAAAAAAAACGAAUCCUUUUGUAGCUCAUCAUUUAUUGGCAAAGAUAGAAAAGGUCAAUAUGAAGGAGGAGAAAGAAACAAUAGUAACGUGGUCCCGGGCAUCUAG
rnacentral:tRNA from 1 species